rnacentral:rRNA from 1 species
GCGGCGUGCUUAACACAUGCAAGUCGAACGGUGAAGGAGGAGCUUGCUCCUCCGGAUCAGUGGCGAACGGGUGAGUAACACGUGAGCAAUCUGCCCUUGACUCUGGGAUAAGCGUUGGAAACGACGUCUAAUACCGGAUACGACCACCGAUGGCAUCAUCUGGUGGUGGAAAGAACUUCGGUCAAGGAUGAGCUCGCGGCCUAUCAGGUUGUUGGUGAGGUAACGGCUCACCAAGCCUACGACGGGUAGCCGGCCUGAGAGGGUGACCGGCCACACUGGGACUGAGACACGGCCCAGACUCCUACGGGAGGCAGCAGUGGGGAAUAUUGCACAAUGGGCGCAAGCCUGAUGCAGCAACGCCGCGUGAGGGACGACGGCCUUCGGGUUGUAAACCUCUUUUAGUAGGGAAGAAGCGAAAGUGACGGUACCUGCAGAAAAAGCACCGGCUAACUACGUGCCAGCAGCCGCGGUAAUACGUAGGGUGCAAGCGUUGUCCGGAAUUAUUGGGCGUAAAGAGCUCGUAGGCGGUUUGUCGCGUCUGCUGUGAAAACUGGAGGCUCAACCUCCAGCCUGCAGUGGGUACGGGCAGACUAGAGUGCGGUAGGGGAGAUUGGAACUCCUGGUGUAGCGGUGGAAUGCGCAGAUAUCAGGAAGAACACCGAUGGCGAAGGCAGAUCUCUGGGCCGUAACUGACGCUGAGGAGCGAAAGUGUGGGGAGCGAACAGGAUUAGAUACCCUGGUAGUCCAUGCCGUAAACGUUGGGAACUAGAUGUGGGGACCAUUCCACGGUCUCCGUG